rnacentral:tRNA from 1 species
GAUCCUAUAGCUCAGUUGGUUAGAGCGUGUGACUGUUAGAAUCAUUCUUCAGUUGCAUCACAAGGUCGCUGGUUCGAACCCAGCUAGGAUCG